GUUAUCAAAUCUCUCAGGCUUAAAACUCAAUGGAUCAUCCCAAAGGGAAGGAUCCCUAUGUAUGGCCCAUGCAUUUACCAACACCAUUGUAUCACGUGGCAAGUCAUAUCCUCCAAUACUGCAAUUGUCAGAUGAUACGUGAGGGAGGAGAAGUGGUGCUGCUGGGUAUAAUCGUAGGGUCUCGACGAUGAUCUUUUGAAGGUAUGGUAAUGUGGAAAGAUGAAGUUC
rnacentral:misc_RNA from 1 species